GAUGAACGCUGGCGGCGUGCCUAAUACAUGCAAGUAGAACGCUGAAGCUUGGUGCUUGCACCGAGCGGAUGAGUUGCGAACGGGUGAGUAACGCGUAGGUAACCUGCCUGGUAGCGGGGGAUAACUAUUGGAAACGAUAGCUAAUACCGCAUAACAGUAGAUAUUGCAUGAUAUCUGCUUGAAAGGUGCAAUUGCACCACUACCAGAUGGACCUGCGUUGUAUUAGCUAGUUGGUGAGGUAACGGCUCACCAAGGCGACGAUACAUAGCCGACCUGAGAGGGUGAUCGGCCACACUGGGACUGAGACACGGCCCAGACUCCUACGGGAGGCAGCAGUAGGGAAUCUUCGGCAAUGGACGGAAGUCUGACCGAGCAACGCCGCGUGAGUGAAGAAGGUUUUCGGAUCGUAAAGCUCUGUUGUAAGAGAAGAACGAGUGUGAGAGUGGAAAGUUCACAC
rnacentral:rRNA from 1 species